CUCGGUUCAAAACUGAACCGAAAAUGCAAGACUUGCUUUAUUUGUUUUCCUUCAAUUUCUUUCUGUAUUAUUUACUAUAAUGGAACUCAUGUUAUUUACACUGUGCUAGAUCAAUACACAUAAACACUGACAGAAAACAAUUAAAGCAAGUCUUGCAUUUUCGGUUCAGUUUUGAACCGAG
rnacentral:miRNA from 1 species